rnacentral:rRNA from 1 species
AAAUUGAAGAGUUUGAUCAUGGCUCAGAUUGAACGCUGGCGGCAGGCCUAACACAUGCAAGUCGAACGGUAACAGGAAUCAGCUUGCUGAUUCGCUGACGAGUGGCGGACGGGUGAGUAAUGUCUGGGAAACUGCCUGAUGGAGGGGGAUAACUACUGGAAACGGUAGCUAAUACCGCAUAAUGUCGCAAGACCAAAGAGGGGGACCUUCGGGCCUCUUGCCAUCGGAUGUGCCCAGAUGGGAUUAGCUGGUAGGUGGGGUAACGGCUCACCUAGGCGACGAUCCCUAGCUGGUCUGAGAGGAUGACCAGCCACACUGGAACUGAGACACGGUCCAGACUCCUACGGGAGGCAGCAGUGGGGAAUAUUGCACAAUGGGCGCAAGCCUGAUGCAGCCAUGCCGCGUGUAUGAAGAAGGCCUUCGGGUUGUAAAGUACUUUCAGCGGGGAGGAAGGGAGUAAAGUUAAUACCUUUGCUCAUUGACGUUACCCGCAGAAGAAGCACCGGCUAACUCCGUGCCAGCAGCCGCGGUAAUACGGAGGGUGCAAGCGUUAAUCGGAAUUACUGGGCGUAAAGCGCACGCAGGCGGUUUGUUAAGUCAGAUGUGAAAUCCCCGGCUCAACCUGGGAACUGCAUCUGAUACUGGCAAGCUUGAGUCUCGUAGAGGGGGUAGAAUUCCAGGUGUAGCGGUGAAAUGCGUAGAGAUCUGGAGGAAUACCGGUGGCGAAGGCGGCCCCUGGACGAAGACUGACGCUCAGGUGCGAAAGCGUGGGGAGCAAACAGGAUUAGAUACCCUGGUAGUCCACGCCGUAAACGAUGUCGACUUGGAGGUUGUGCCCUUGAGGCGUGGCUUCCGGAGCUAACGCGUUAAGUCGACCGCCUGGGGAGUACGGCCGCAAGGUUAAAACUCAAAUGAAUUGACGGGGGCCCGCACAAGCGGUGGAGCAUGUGGUUUAAUUCGAUGCAACGCGAAGAACCUUACCUGGUCUUGACAUCCACGGAAGUUUUCAGAGAUGAGAAUGUGCCUUCGGGAACCGUGAGACAGGUGCUGCAUGGCUGUCGUCAGCUCGUGUUGUGAAAUGUUGGGUUAAGUCCCGCAACGAGCGCAACCCUUAUCCUUUGUUGCCAGCGGUCCGGCCGGGAACUCAAAGGAGACUGCCAGUGAUAAACUGGAGGAAGGUGGGGAUGACGUCAAGUCAUCAUGGCCCUUACGACCAGGGCUACACACGUGCUACAAUGGCGCAUACAAAGAGAAGCGACCUCGCGAGAGCAAGCGGACCUCAUAAAGUGCGUCGUAGUCCGGAUUGGAGUCUGCAACUCGACUCCAUGAAGUCGGAAUCGCUAGUAAUCGUGGAUCAGAAUGCCACGGUGAAUACGUUCCGGGCCUUGUACACACCGCCCGUCACACCAUGGGAGUGGGUUGCAAAAGAAGUAGGUAGCUUAACCUUCGGGAGGGCGCUUACCACUUUGUGAUUCAUGACUGGGGUGAAGUCGUAACAAGGUAACCGUAGGGGAACCUGCGGUUGGAUCACCUCCUUACCUUAAAGAAGC